rnacentral:lncRNA from 1 species
ACAAUACAAGAUAUACACGAUACAACACACGCUGAUAGAGAGGCCUGAAAAAACACUGUGCAGCUUUUGGACACAAACCCCCCCUCUCGAUCAUCUUCUUCAUUGAACCCUAGCAGCACCAUGGCCGCUGCUCCUUCUUCAUGAAGCUCGAAGAUACGCCUAGAUAGGGAGAGGAAGCUGCGGUUCAUGUCUUCUUCAAAAAUGAAGCAGCAGCCAUGAGAGAACCCAGAAGUCAUUGAACACUAAAAAACAGAAACCCUCACGUCUCUUCUCCUUCCUCGGCAGUCGCUGAACACCAUAACACACAGACACGAGAGACCUAGGAGCCAAACAAUGCCAUCAACAAACCCAACUAGUCCCCCUCCUCACCAAAUACACGCCUGGAAAUUGAGCAGCGCAAAUCCCUCUUAAAACCGAGGACGAAAUAAAAAAGCAAGUGACGGAAUCCUUUCGCAAACGAACAACAGAAGCUUUGGAUGGAAAUUAGUUCAUUUUUCUUUCUCUGAGUUUCGAUUCUGGUCCUAACAUGGAGUUUGGUUGAGGUCACAUUGGAUUUCAAGGUAUCCGGUGUCGAUUCGAGGUUCCAGCGAGGUCGUUUUUAGUAGUUUUUCGGUCGUUGUUCAACCGUUGUGGUCGUCAUCUCGAUGUUGUGCUUGAUUCGUUAAUGCAAAGCUGUUGUUUCUCGGCCAUUAUUCGGUAUGCCUUACAUUUCAAUUUAUACAAUGUUAGGUUUCCCCUCAUUCUAACUGGUGACGUUAUAGAAAUGCAUUAGUGACGUUGGAAGCUAUUUGGUUGAAAUAUCCUCUUUCUUUGUUUCGAUUAGGCGGAUAUUGUGACAUUAUUCAUUCUUUUGCUUCACUGAAUUAUCUUUGCUUUCUGUUCGACAACUCGUUCUCAUGACUAAGAAUGAUGUUUCAGUUGAUUAUAAAUGUCGAACCUUAUCGAAUUUGUUCACCACCAUUGAGGUAAGGUUUCAGUUAUUCAAUAUUAUUACUUGUUGGUUUGGUACAACGUUUAAAGACACAUCAGUUGGCUUAGAAGGUUGUUGAAAGUUCCUAUUAAUUUAUUGGACUAGCCAUUGGUCUUGAAAAUUGAUUUAAGCUGUAGGUUAAUUUUGGGGUAAGAUGAAGUUGGGUUUGAGACUUGGUUGAUACUGAGACGGAAUUGGAUGUAAGGUAACAUUCUGCUUCUCUUAUGUUAUUUCUCUUUUAGUUACUCCGGUUGCUAGAAAAACUUUUAGACUCAUAAGUAAUCAUCGUGACCAUGGAUAUAGUUUUGUGACGUAGCUGCGACACUUAAUUUCGAAUUAGUGUUAAUUAUGAUCAUUUGUAUUUAAAUGUUUUUCCCUUUUAUAAUUUGAGGUGCGCGAUGCCAAAUAGAAAUAACAAUUGCAUGGCACCUCACUUUUAUUUCAUCUUGAAUUGAUCCUUAGAUUCUGAGGCGUACCAUUUAGUAAAUUCCAUGGAGCGUAAUUGCUUUAGGCGCGUUAUUUUAAUAAUUUACCUUUCCUAAAUUUAGGUGCACAUUUAUGUGACCCAAAUCCAAAUCUAAACAACGUUAGAUAAAAUGUGGCGUGGACCGCGGGUGCAUUUAUGUGACAUAGUUCAUAUGUUUUAAAUGACGUUGAAAUUUUCUUUUAAAAAUGAAUAAAAGCGGUUAAGGUUAAAAAUAAACAUAGGUUCAAAACUUGUUAUAAAAUUAGAUAAUUAAGCCGAAUAUAAUAGUUGAGCGACCGUUUUAAAACCACAGAAUCCAUGAAUGUCUAACACCUUCUCCUGGGUUAAUAGAGUUUCUUACCCGGAUUUUUGGUUUGCGGACUGUUAAACAUAGUCAUUCUUUCCUCGAUUCGGGAUUUUAAACGGUGACUUGAGACACCAUAAAUCUCCCAAGUGAUGACUCAGAAAUUCUCUUAAAUAAUUGAAUCUCGUUUCAAUUGUCCUUUAAUUGAAAAAACUCCCUUAUCUACGCCCUUCGCUACGUUGUAGUAGCCAAAAGGAUGUGUAACAGCUCUGGCGACUUGGUUGGGGACCGAACUUAAAAUCUCUAGUUCAAGGUUCAAGAAUUCGAGCUUAGAAUAAAUGUUGUAUUUGGGUUUUAUUAUUUGAUUUUACAUGUUGACUUAAUGUGCAAAAUGAUGCAUUUACCGCUUUGAUAUUAUUUGAACUAUAUAUAAACUGUUACGAAACCCGUCUCUAUUUAUCUUUGGGGAUGUGCUCGCUGGUCGAGACUCCCUAUUCUGUUAGUUUCAUACCUUGAAAUAAGAAAGAAGCUCGGACCAGUUACUAAGCCGGAUGAUCUUGCGAGUCCUCGAUACGCAACCCCCUCCUCGACUCGAGUUGUCCGCUUGGGUAACAGUCUAGAACAAAUACCCACGUUCUGAACCUAGUAUAACAAAGCCUCAUGCCGGAUCCCUAGUAGGAGCAUUUGUUUGCAUCAUGUGCAUUCAACUUAGGGGACUCAACACAGGGGUUGGGUCCGUCUAGGAUAGGUGUACCCAAAUAACAGACCAUCCUGAUGCAUCAUAAUGUGCUACAUGUUGCAUUUCUCCAAGGGUAAAAGGGUUAUUUGGCGGACCAAUGACAGCUGAGGGUAAAUGAAAAAAUGAAAAAAAAAAAAGAGAAAACAAUGAAAAAAAAAGAAAAGAGAGGGUGAAGUGUGAAAAUAAAGCAAGCAGGAUUUAGUUAUGUUUUUGUUACAUUUUUUUAUUUGAAAAAAGAAAAGAUAUACAUAAAAAAUUCAAAAAAAAAAAAGAAGAAGAGAUUUUUCACAUUUUUUCCCAAAAACUAAUAAAAAAAGGGAAAAAGAAAAUUCAAAAGAUUUUGCAUGUUUCAACAUUUUACAAGAAAAAACAAAAAAAAGAAUGUUUUCUCUGAAAUUAGCUGUUUUUUAUUUUGUUGCCUGUAUCCAAUUUGCCCGAACCACACAACCCUGAUUCUCGUCUUUAGGGGAGUGAUACGUAUGCAACCCAAAUAUGGUCCGGUCUUCCUAGUAAAUCAUAGGUUCUCGAUUUUGCGGGGUCAUAGCUAAAAUUUGCACUUCUAGCCACUUUUAGCUACAUAUGUUAGUUUUUGAAUUCAGAAGUUGUUUGUUGGAAAUUGUGUGAAUUGAGUUGUGUCAAUAGACUCUACUAUUGAAAUUCUUAGAGUUCAAGUUGGAAUUCUCUUGUCAAAUUUCUUUUAUGUUGACGGAAGUUCUUUGAGAUCAGUCUUUGUUUGUUGGAGCAUUGUUUUGUGAUUUUAAUUCGAUCUAUGAAGGUUCGUGGGCCAAUAUUUGAAAGGAAGUUCUGCAUUGAACAUCAAUUAUCUUUGUGCUGAGACUGUGGAGUUCUAAAACUUGUCUUGUUUAAGUUCGCCACAAUUUGUGAAGUUUUUGGAGUAAAUUGAUAGCUGAAAUUCUCCUAGUUUGAACUUGUUACCACUGGUUUCUAAUAAUUGUUAUUAUUGUUGAGUUUAAUAGGAGGGGAUUCAAUGGGCCUAGAGAUUGAGCAUGCUUGAAUUGUGAUUUGCUUGAAUUUCCGAUAAGCUAUAUUUAUCGAAAAUUUAUGUUAGUCGAGAUUAUGCUCGAGUUUAGCAGUGAUAGUUUGAAAUUUGGGUUUUACUUCUAAAAUGUUCUCCUUGUUGAAUUGAGCCCUUGUUACAUAAACUAUUGUCCAGUUGAUUAGAAUCUGCUGACAGAAGCUGCAUGUUUGCUGGAAAAUAAUUUGCUGCUUGUUUUAUGUUGCUGUAAAGGAUUUCAUACUUGCUGUCCACAACCAUGCAUUGUUCAUUUUUCGCUCAACAAGGAAGAUUUCCACAUUUCUUUAAGUGAUAGUGUUACUAUAGUUUUUCUUAACAGUUGAGAAAAUUUUACAAAAGUUUUAGCUUUAGUUGACUCAACUGCGUUGUUUCAGUUUAUAUGCCAACAAUACACUAUUGAAAUUGUUUUGAUCUGUUCUUUUUUAGAAAGCAGAUCCUGCACUGUUCAGCUGUACUAUGUGGUUAUUCUGACUCAAUAUUGCUGUGAUUCUAAUGCUUUGUUUCUACAGUUGAGGUCGUCAUUCUGAGUUGAAAAUUUUUGUGCCUACUGCUGCUGAAUUUAGUGCUCAAGGUGUUGCUGAAGUUCCGGGUUUUG